ensembl:miRNA
UAUUAUUAGGUUUGUGCAAAAGUAAUUGUGGUUCUUGCCCUUACUUUUAAUGGCAAAAGCCACAAUAACUUUUGCACCAACCUAA